rnacentral:rRNA from 1 species
GAUGAACGCUGGCGGCGUGCCUAAUACAUGCAAGUCGAGCGAACGGACGAGAAGCUUGCUUCUCUGAUGUUAGCGGCGGACGGGUGAGUAACACGUGGAUAACCUACCUAUAAGACUGGGAUAACUUCGGGAAACCGGAGCUAAUACCGGAUGAUAUUUUGAACCGCAUGGUUCAAAAGUGAAAGACGGUCUUGCUGUCACUUAUAGAUGGAUCCGCGCUGCAUUAGCUAGUUGGUAAGGUAACGGCUUACCAAGGCAACGAUGCAUAGCCGACCUGAGAGGGUGAUCGCCCACACGGGAACUGAGACACGGCCCAGACCCCUACGGGAGGCAGCAGGAGGGAAUCUUCCGAAAUGGGGGAAAGCCUGACGGAGAAACGCCGGGGGAGUGAUGAAGGUCUUCGGAUCGUAAAACUCUUUUAUUAGGGAAAAAAAUAUGUGUAAGUAACUGUGAACAUCUUGACGGUACCUAAUCAGAAAGCCCCGGCAAACUACGU